rnacentral:rRNA from 3 species
CAGUGAUAAACUGGAGGAAGGUGGGGAUGACGUCAAGUCAUCAUGGCCCUUACGAGUAGGGCUACACACGUGCUACAAUGGCGCAUACAAAGAGAAGCGACCUCGCGAGAGCAAGCGGACCUCAUAAAGUGCGUCGUAGUCCGGAUUGGAGUCUGCAACUCGACUCCAUGAAGUCGGAAUCGCUAGUAAUCGUAGAUCAGAAUGCUACGGUGAAUACGUUCCCGGGCCUUGUACACACCGCCCGUCACACCAUGGGAGUGGGUUGCAAAAGAAGUAGGUAGCUUAACCUUCGGGAGGGCGCUUACCACUUUGUGAUUCAUGACUGGGGUGAAGUCGUAACAAGGUAACCGUAGGGGAACCUGCGGUUGGAUCACCUCCUU